GUGAAAAGGAAAGAGAGAAAGAGAGAGAGAGAGAAAAAAAAGCGGGGAGAGAGAGAGAGAGAGGAACACAAGGUGGGGAGGAAGCCAGUGCACGUUCCAUAGCAUCACUACUGUGACUGCUUGUACCCGAUAAUCUUGCUCUGCAGCUCCCUCAGUGAACAACUUACUGAGGUGCCUUUCUUUUUACAAGAGGAUGUCAGCUCUGAGCUCCAGCAAGAAAUAACAGACUUCACCUUGGAAUAGCUCAUCUUACUCCUGCAUCAUUAAAGCGGAUUUUCAAAAGAAAACAAAAAUCAAGUCCCCUUUCCAGUUCCACUUUCUUCCAGCAUUGAACAGGAACAGUUUCACGCUCCAGCUCCCUUUAUGAAGAUUCAAGGAAUCCACAUCCCCUGCAUGACACACCACACUGAGCUCAGUGAAAGACUGACUCACCUUGUCAGAAGAAAUGUCUUAAAAGGGCUUCCCUCCAUCUGAAAGAGCAUAAAAAAAAAAACCAAGUGAUUGUUUUCUCAAUCGUCAUCAAGGUUAAAAGUGGAUACGUGUUCUCUGCUAGCCAAGGAGGAACCUGUUGGGGGUUUCUGGGAAAGCUAUUCCUUCUCUGAUAGCGGAAGUGCAAGAGCUUUUAAGCUGCUCCUCAUCCCUGCUCCCUGCUCCUGAAUAUGCUGAUGGUGCACAAAGCUACAGAGGGGAUCCUGUGUCAGUCAGAUGACAACAAGUGAAUCAAAUGCCUGAGUUCUUGGUGACAGCAUUAAACAAGGCAAACUUCAGGUUUUGUGAUAAAUAGGGAAAAAAUCAAAAAGGAUUUAAAGAUCAUACUGUUACUUGCUGGCAAGCUCACCUUAAAAGAAGGAACAAUCAAGCCUUAUUAAAGCAGGAAAAAACAAACAGGAAUUUUUAGGAAAGUAUUUAAUUUUAGGAUAAAGAUCUAAUGUUAAAAAUUUCAGUUUUCGUGAAAAAGCAGUAACUAUGCAAAAUCAAUGACUAUAUAGUGAAAGAAGAUUUUUUUGCUGACUUACUACUUUCAGGCAAAAUGCCAUAAAAGUUAUUAUAGUUCUGAAUUAAUAGAUAACUGCAUUCGAAAGAGGCAAUAAAAUAGUUUAAGAUUUUUACAGGGAAUGAAAAGAUUCAAUAGUUUCUUGUAGACUCUUUAAAUGACAUAUACAAAGAGAUUUAAAGUAAUUUUGGUUUUAGUUUAUGGUUAGGACUAGGGCAAAAUACAAAAGACCUUAUUUAUGUCUUUUGAAACUUUAUUACUGCCAGGCAAGUAAUAUAUGUUUACUGGGGAACUGUUGUAACUUAGAGUCAUUUUAUUUCACAAGUAUUUAUCAGUAAAUGCUUUAUUUUUCACAAUAAAAUGGUCCUGAGGGAAUAAGCAAAAGCUUAAGUCGUCUUCUUUUUAUAACGUUAAAAUCUAUUAAAUAUAUAAAAGAAUAUAACGUUGGAAUACAUCGAUUUUUCCACUUGUUGGUAUAUUGCUUUGUUUUUAUUUCAUUGUUGGUAUUCUAUAAAGAAUAAGUCCUUAACUCUUAUCAUUUCUAGUGGAUGGAUUUAACCUUUACAAAGAGCAAGUGCCCAAAGUUUGUAAAGAAGCUUCUGAGAUACUGUGAACCACGUUUCGUGCAGAGAGCAUCAGCGAGUUUGGCGUAUUAACAAGGCUGUUUUAAAAACAUCUUCAAAGUAGCCACAUGACAUUCACUGAUUGUAUCGCGUCUUACCACUGUUCUGGUGUUAAUUCAACAAAAUGCAGCCAUUGGCAGCAGAGUCUCCAGGCUCACAUAAUCUGCUGUGGUGGUGAAUGUUCAGCAUUACUCUAAGAGUACUAAAAAUUCACAAGAACCAAAUGAAUGGAAAAAAUACAGUUCCUGUUGGAUAAAUCGAAAAUAUAUUACCAGAAAAGUUAUUAUUUAAUGAGAUUGUUUUUCAGAAAGAAAGGAAAUCUGUCGUUUUUUCUGAACAAUUAAUAUAUAAGUAAAGGAAUAUAAAACAUAAAUCAUGAAAGUGGAUAGACCUUGUCUACCCAUUUAUAUUUACAAGAUAUAUAUGUAUAUAUUCUAGUUAGCUUGAAGUGCCAAAAGAGUCCCAGGGACAGGCGCGGCGGCUCACGCCUGUAAUCCCAGAACUUUGGGAGGCCGAGGCGGGAGGAUCAUGAGGUCAGGAGAUCGAGACCAUCCUGGCUAACAGGGUGAAACCCCGUCUCUACCAAAAAUACAAAAAAUUAGCUGGGCGUCGUGGCGGGCGCCUGUAGUCCCAGCUACUGAAGGGGAGCUGAGGCAGGAGAAUAGCGUGAACCCGGGAGGCAGAGCUUGCAGUGAGCCGAGAUCUUGCCACUGCACUCCAGCCUGGGCGACAGAGCGAGACUCCAUCUCAAAAAAAAAAAAAAAAAAAAAAAAAAAAAAACAGAGUCCCAUACCCUGGGUGGUUGGCUUAGAAACAACGGAAAUUUAUUUCUCACAGUUCUGGAGGCUGGAAGUCUGAGAUCAGAGAACCCGUGGAGCCAGCAUGGUUGGGUUCUGGUGAAGGGUGUGUAUUAGUCCGUGUUCACGCUGCUAAUAAAUACAUACUCAAGACUCGGUAGAAAAAGAGGUUUAAUUGGACUUACAGAGGCCUGGGCAGCCUCAGAAUCAUAGCAGCAGACAAAAAUCACUUCUCUCCUGGCCGAGGCAAGAGAAAAAAAUUGAGAAGCAAAAGCGGAAACCCCUGAUAAGCUCAUCAGAUCUCGUGAGACUUACUAACUAUCAAGAGAAUAGCACCGGAAAGUCCCCUUGAUUCAAUUACCUCCGCAUGGGUCCCACCCACAACACGUGAGAAUUCUAGGAGAUACAAUUUCAAGUUGAAAUUUGGAUGGGGACACGGCCAAACCAUAUCCCUCAUCUAGUUUGCGCAGUACCAACCUCUUGCUCUGUCCUCGCAUAGUGAAAAUAUGGAGAGAGAAUGUUUGGUGUCUGUUGUAUAAAAGCAUUAAUCCCAUUCAUGAGGGCUCAACCCUCAGGAUCAAUUCAUCUCCCAAAGGCCCCACCUCCUAACACUAUCACAUUAGGACGUGAGGAUUUCAACGUAUGAUUUUGGGGUGACACAAACAUUCAGCCCAUUGCAUAUACACACAUCUAUAUUCAUAUGCAUAUUUACAAAUACCCCUUUUUAUACGCACACAGUUAAACUUAAGUUGUCUUACAAUUAAUCAUUAUUAAUUGUACAAAAAAAUUAUUGAAAUCUUCAUUUGUUUUAAAUAUAUCCAUUGGGUUUUUAAGGGCUAAACAAAAAGAAUAAAAUUGAAAAACCCACCUAUAUGUUUGACUUAGAAUUCCUACAUAAAAAUGAAGACUUCAUUACAGGGUAUUUAGUAGCAAAUGUCACUCUAGGAAGGUAUGCAGGGUUACAGUGUGUGUACAUGCGCAUGUGUUUAACCGACUCUCCCCUGGAGGAGUUGUAUGCAAAGAGGCAAUGUAAACCAGGGACGAAGUUAAAAAGACACUAGUCUUGGCCGGGCGUGGUGGCUCAUGCCUUUGGGAGGCCGAGGUGGGCGGAUCACCUGAAGUCAGGAGUUGGAGACCAGCUUGUCCAACAUGAGGAAACCCCGUCUCUACUGAAAAUACAAAAAAAAAAAAAAAAAAAAAAAAUUAGCCAGCAGUGGUGGCAGACACCUGUAAUCCCUGCUACUCGGGAGGCUGAGGCAGGAGAAUUCCUGGAACCCCAGCGGCGGAGGUUGCGGUGAGCCAAGAUUGCGCCACUGCACUCCAGCCCCGGCCGACAACAGCAAGAGUCUGUCUCAACAAAAAAUAAAAAUAAAAAACAAAAAAUAAAAGGCACUAGUCUCUUUAUCUGUGGAAAAUGUUCAACUUCCCCGUUCCUCAUUUCUGUAGUGUGAAUCUAAAACUAUAAUCCUCCUCAUAGGAUUGUGUAAACUAUAUUAAUUUUCAUACGUGAAAAGUGCUUAGGUUAGAAGGGAGCCUGGUAUGUCCUCGGAACUACAGAAAAGUCUAAUUACUAUGAUGUUAUAACUAUUUGGGAGAAUGGAAACUUUUGUACCUGUCUCUAAUUUAGAGAUUCCUAGUGUAUCCUUUGAUAAGGGUAUGAGUAGGAUCAGCAUACUCCAUUCUUUCUCAUCUGCAGGAAUAUAUGACUGAUGAUACAGUGCACCAUAUUUUAUGUGAUUUUGGAAGAGUAAAGGAAGCAGUGCUUAGCUGUCUUCUCUAACUGUCUUCAAUUUUUUCAGCCAGAGUUUUUUCAUAGGACCAAAUAAAUGACAUGUCGUAGAGUUUGUUUUAUAAAGGAAUCCCUUCCUCUGAUUACUACAUACACUUGAACACCAAAAUGGGGUUUCACCAUAUUUAUUUACUUCCCCAAUACCUUCUAAUGCUAGUUUUAUAAUUCUGGAAACAGACCAUUGGAAAUCAUAGAAUUGUGCUAAAAGCAUAAAUAUAUAUUAGUUCUAAGAGUCAUAUACUUUUUCUAUCUUUGCUGAAAUAAACUUAUUUUAUUCUGAAGAUUUGCUAUUAGUAAUAAGCAAAAAGGAAUUGAUGAAGAAUUCCAGGGAAAUAAAUAUCUAGGAAACAAUAUUACCAUUGUUGCCAAGAAAAAUUGUGUCUAUAGCAGUCCUGUUAUAUUUAUAAUACAUACUUUCGGGCAACAGAACAGCUACGUUAUUAAAUAUACAUCAUGGCUUACAAACUAUCAGCAAAUUACAUAGCAUGAAAGAAAAAAUAUCUAACAAAAAUGAUUCAUUAAUACAUAUUUCUAUUUUCAGGCUAGCCACUUAACUAUAAAUUUAGACCUUGCAUAUUGGAAAUCAAAUGGUUGUUAUCCAUACACUUAUGAGGAAACUCAUUUAAUGUGUGAGCUGGAAGCUGAUAUAUGAAGUUGAAUAUUAUUUUUCUCUACUAUAGUGCUUUUUCCUAGGAAUAACUUUUUACUAUAUACUAUAAUGGGCACAUUAUUGAAAAAUCUUAUUCAAUCUAUUUUUUACCCUCCUUCCCUAAGCUAAAUAAUCUGGCUCUUUUUACUGAUCCUGGAAUUAUUUUUUCAUGUCUCAGGGCAUAUCUCCAAAUUAUCUUUAAGUUUUCUCAUGCUGUAAAGAACCUUAUCAUACCACUUCAUAUCAAGAAUUAAGUGAGUGUAGACUUUUUCAUUACUAGUCUUUUAUUCAAGACUCUAUGUUCCAUGAGAUCUACUAUUAUCUAUGCAUUUUGUGGUCCAUAUUUCCACUGAGUCAGCCUUUUGCGCAUAAUUUAAUAACUAAAAAUAUUACCAAAGUCUGUGACUAUUUCAUGUAUUUCCUUUUUAUUUAUACCACUUAAAUGAAAUGCUAAUCUCUCUUUCAUUCUCAGACUGAUUUCCAUAAGUGGUAUCACCUUUCUGAAUAUAGAAACCUAUUAAUUCUAUAUGCUUUCCCUUAAACUUACUUUUUUCUGUAAGCACAUUCUUAUUAUGAUGCAUUUUCAUUUGAUUUCUGAAAACUUAGAAUUAUAGGCUUCUCUAAAAUAAAAUAUAAUUACUUAAUUCUUCAUAAUCUGACAAAGUCAUUUCUCUAUUAAUAGAACAGACUGAUCUGUUUUUCUGCAAAUUUAAUUACAAACUCAAAUUUAUGUACUUGUGAAUUUACUUUCUAUGAUGACCUUGUAAUUUAAAUACAAGUUAUUAACUACAAUAAGAUUAAGUUCAUUUUUCCUUUCCAUAAAUAUUGACAUAAUAUGCAGAAUUUAAUCAUUUUUAUUGUAGAAAGAACACUUAACAUGAUAUCUACUCUCUGAACAAUUUCUAAAUAUACCAUAUAGAAUUAACUAUAGGCACAAAGUUGUACAGCCAUUUUCUAGAACGUACUUAUCUUGCAUAACUGAAACAUCAUACUCAUUGAAUAGUAACUCCUAUUUUUUCCUUGCCCCAGUUUCUGGCAACCACCAUUCUGUUUUGUUCUUAUGAGUUUGGCUAUUUUUAAUAUAACAUAUAAAUGGAAUAGUGUAGCAUUUGUCCUUCUGUGACUGGCUUAUUUCAAUAAGCAUAAUGUUCUCAUGAUUCUUCCACAUUGUUGCAGGUUGUAAGAUUUUCAUCUUUUUAUUUUUUUAUAUAUUUAUUUAUUUUUAUUUUUUUGAGAUGGAGUCUUGCUCUGUCACCCAGGCUGGAGUGAGAGCAGUGGCGC
rnacentral:lncRNA from 1 species